rnacentral:rRNA from 1 species
CUACGGGGGGCAGCAGUGGGGAAUCUUGCGCAAUGGGCGAAAGCCUGACGCAGCAACGCCGCGUGCGGGAAGAAUGCCCUUUGGGCUGUAAACCGCUUUCAGCAGGAACGAAAAUGACGGUACCUGCAGAAGAAGAAGCGGCCAACUAUGUGCCAGCAGCCGCGGUGAUACAUAGGCUUCGAGCGUUGUCCGGAUUUAUUGGGCGUAAAGAGUUCGUAGGCGGUUAAGUAAGUCGGGUGUGAAAAUUCUGGGCUCAACCCAGAAACGCCACCCGAUACUGCUUGACUUGAGUUCGACAGGGGAGUGGGGAAUUCCUAGUGUAGCGGUGAAAUGCGCAGAUAUUAGGAGGAACACCGGUGGCGAAGGCGCCACUCUGGGUCGACACUGACGCUGAGGAACGAAAGCAUGGGUAGCAAACAGGAUUAGAUACCCUCGUAGUC